UACAGAGGGUGCGAGCGUUGUUCGGAAUUAUUGGGCGUAAAGGGCGCGUAGGCGGUGCGGUAAGUCACCUGUGAAAUCUCCUGGCUCAACUGGGAGCUUGCAGGCGAAACUGCCGUGCUGGAGUGUGGGAGAGGUGCGUGGAAUUCCUGGUGUAGCGGUGAAAUGCGCAGAUAUCGGGAGGAACACCAGUGGCGAAGGCGGAACUCUGGGCCGGAACUGACGCUGAGGAGCGAAAGCGUGGGGAGCGAACAGG
rnacentral:rRNA from 1 species